AGUGAACGCUGGCGGUAGGCCUAACACAUGCGAGUCGAACGGCAGCACAGUAAGAGCUUGCUCUUACGGGUGGCGAGUGGCGGACGGGUGAGGAAUACAUCGGAAUCUACUUUUUCGUGGGGGAUAACGUAGGGAAACUUACGCUAAUACCGCAUACGACCUACGGGUGAAAGCAGGGGAUCUUCGGACCUUGCGCGAUUGAAUGAGCCGAUGUCGGAUUAGCUAGUUGGCGGGGUAAAGGCCCACCAAGGCGACGAUCCGUAGCUGGUCUGAGAGGAUGAUCAGCCACACUGGAACUGAGACACGGUCCCGACUCCUACGGGAGGCAGCAGUGGGGAAUAUUGGACAAUGGGCGCAAGCCUGAUCCAGCCAUACCGCGUGGGUGAAGAAGGCCUUCGGGUUGUAAAGCCCUUUUGUUGGGAAAGAAAAGCAGCAGGUUAAUACCCCGCUGUUCUGACGGUACCCAAAGAAUAAGCACCGGCUAACUUCGUG
rnacentral:rRNA from 1 species